CCAAUCUGGCAAAUUUAAAUGUGAAAAAAACUGAAAAAUGUAACAUGCAAUAUUUGACCCUGUAACUUCCCACAACACCAUAAAACCUGUACAUAGGGGUACUGUUUUACAUGUGAGACAUUGCUGAAUACAAAUAUGUGUAUUUUAUUGCAGCAAAAGCAAACAGUACUAUGGCAUUCACAGUUAGAAUGUCACGUAGAACUAAACAUUUUUUUAAUUCUUAUUUUCUCCCACUUUUUAAUAUUUUAUUCAUAUUAAAUUAUGUUUCAUACCUAAAUAUUUGAUUUUAAAUGAAAGUCCUGUUUCCCCUGAAUAAAAUGAUAUAUAAUAAGUGUGGGUGCACAUAAUAUGAAAGAGGC